CUUUUCUGCUCAGAAGACCCCUCUCCAUAUGUAGAAAGAGUUGUUUUUCUUUAUCUUCUCUUCUGCCUAUUAAACCUCCGUUCCUAAACUCCUGGUGUGUGUCUGGUCCUAAAUUUCCCUGGCAUGAGACGACGAACCCUAGGGUAUGUAACCCAGACAACGUAGCCACUUCAGAAUUAUUAUGUUUUAAAAAUCACUUUUGUUGGGUUGUUUAUAGCUGGUGAAUAGAAAUGGAAUUGACUUUUGUAUAUUGAUCUUCUUCUACUCUGCAAUCAUACUGAACUAGUUUAUGAGUUCAAUUAAUUUUUAAUGGAUUCUUUAGGAUUUUCUGUACACAGCAUUAUGUCAUCUGCAAACAGAGUUAUAUUUCUCUCUUCCUGUGGUGUUAUUUUAUAUAUAUAUAGGUUUUUAUCCGUGGUUCCUGGCCCAUAGCCUUUUAUAGUCUCUUGUUAUAAUGUUGGGUGUGUUAGGCCUCAGGAAACAGAAUCUCUUGCCUGCCCUCCUUUCACCUGUCCCAAGGCAGGACUCUAAUCUUCCCAACUUUCUGAUUGUGGGUCUUAUGACCCUCCUCUGAGAGGAUCCUGCCUCAUACCCUGGGGGAAGGAAUGCUGACUUCCUGAAGCUUCCAUAGAAACUCAAGAUAAUUGGGUUCAGGAGUUUCCAAAUAGCUGAAAAUGUGGAGGUUCCUGGAGGGCGGUGCCCCAGGGAGGGCAUGGGAUCCCUUAGCCCGUUCCCCCACACCUUGCCCUAUGUACCUCUUCAUCUGUAUGCUUUGUAAUAUCCUUUAUAAUAAGCUGAUAAAUGUGUUUCCUGAGUUCUGUGAGCUGCUCCAGCAAAUUAAUUAAACCCAAAGAGGAGGUUGUGGGAACCCCGACCCAAACCCAGUGGUCAGAAGUUCUGGAGGCCCAGGUUUGUGGUUGAUGUCUGUGGAGCAAGGGUAGUCUUGGGGACAGAGUAUUUAACCAGUGGAAUCUGAUGCUAUCUCCAGAUAGUGUCAGACUUGAAUUGGAGGACAACCAGCUGGUGACCCCUGCUUGAUAGUAGGGAGAAACUCCUAAAAUUUUGUCACAGAAGUCUUCUUCUAUAUAGAUGAUUAUUGUUGUGGUGUAAGAGUAGAGGAAAAAUGCGGUUUGAGAGAGUUUUUCCUGACAUAAUUUGUGUCAGUGAAUUGGGAUUUGCUGGAAAGGCCCUGACCACAGAAACGUGGUUUGGGAAAAGAAAGAAAAAAAAGGGUGGGCGGGGGGUGGGGCAGUGGUGAGAAACCUUUGAUUCCUGGGUGGCCACGUGGUCACCCAUGUAUGAGGCGGCAGCUGUGUUGAGAGUGUAAACCGAAAAUAAAAUUCUAAGCCCCGUGACCGACUGAAUGGGCCUACUCCCUCUUGGCUAAGGAGAUCACACCUAAAACCUGAAAAACUAGUUUAGGCCAUGACAGGAAUGAGGGUGCUGAUGUUAGAGUAGGCAGCUAGGCAGACAUGAGAAGGGCAGGAGAGGAGGUUUCCCCUGCCCAAUUGCCAGCAAUGUUAGGCAACCAUCAGGUGAAGGUGGUUGUUAAACUGCCUAAAAUAAUAAUUGGUAGUCUCCCAAUAGAUGAAAAACACCUGAAGCUGGUGAUCAGCAGCUUCCCAAAAAGAUCUGAGGAUUUGGGCAAGCAGGCUUAAUCAUGCACACUAAGGGGCAAAAUGGCAGAGUUUCACUGGUGUAUGACCUUCUUCUAGGAACAUUUGACUGGUGUGGGGAAAAAAUGCCUCAGAUGAGCACAUCGCACAACUUCAGUAAACACACUGCUCAUGUGGCCCCUCUCAAGUGCUGACAGGCCACUGUGUGUUUGGACAGCCCCCGCAAGGAAAGAAUCAAGGGAGAGGAAACACAAACCCUGGAACCAUGCCAGUGUAUAAAACCCCUAUUUGGCCAGGAGUGGUGGCUCACACCUGUAAUCCCAGCACUUUGGGAGGCUGAAGUGGGUGGAUCACAAGGUCAAGAGAUCGAGACCAUCCUGGCCAACAUGGUGAAACCCCAUCUGUACUAAAAAUAUAUAAGUUAGCUGGGCCUGGUGGCAUGCGCCUGUAGUCCCAGCUACUCGGGAGGCUGAGGCAGGAGAAUUGCUUGAACCUGAGAGGCAGAGGUGGCAGUGAGCCAAGAUUGCACCACUGCACUCCAGCCUGGUGACAGAGCGAGACUCCAUCUCAAAAAAAAAAAGAAAAGAAAAUUCAAGGAUUGGAUGGGGCACUUAGAUCUCUCAAGUCACCUGCUUGGCCUUCUUCCAAGUGUAAUUUGCUUCCUUUUGUUCUUGCUCUAAAGCUUUUUAAUAAACUCUCACUCCUGCCCUAAACUUGCCUUAUUCUCUCACUCUGCCUUAUGCCCCUUUGCUGAAUUCUUUCCUUUGAGGAAGCAAGAAUCAAGUUUGCUGCAGACCCAUCGGAUUCUUACUGCCAAUACAGACAUGCCUCAUUAUACUCUCCUCCCUUUAGAAUUCAGGCACAAUUGACCAGCAUUAACAUUAAAACAGAGAUCUUAAGACUGUCAAAACAGACAGUUUGUAGCAAUAAGAUACCAAAGUUCAAACCAGUGCUAAUAUAGCAUCACAUGACAGCAGGACCUGAAGAAAAUCCAAAAUAUAUUUCUUUGACAUAUUUUGAAAUGACCCUCAAAGCCUCUUUGUGUGUGGGGAAAUUUUGCGUAUGUAAAGAGUCUCUAUUAACAUAGCUAGAGCUUUCCCAUUCCAGGUGCUCCCAAUCCUGAAGAGACUCACUGAAAGUCUAGCAUCUUUUAAAGGUCUACAUAGGAAACAUUUGCCAUCUAUUAUCUCUAAGGUCGCUACCUAUGAGACUUCAUCUAUAUAAUAGGAACCUUGGUCUCCACAACCCCUUAUCUUAACCUAGACACUUCUUUCUAUUGAGUCCAGGUUUUUAGGUAAUAACUCUUUCAACUAAUUGCCAAUCAGAAAAUCUUUGAAUCCAUCUAUAACCUGAAAGCCCCCUUCCCCACUUCUCCAGCUUCAAGUUGUCCUGCCUUUCAAGACAGAAUUAAGGCAUGUAUAUGAGGUAUCAGUUGAUGUCUUAUGUCCCCCUAAAUUGUAUAAAAUCCAGCCAUAACUCAACCACCUUGGGCACAUGUUCUCAGGACCUCUUGAGACUUUGCCUUGGGCCAUGGCCACUCAUAUUUGGCUCAGAAUAUUAAAAAUUUUAGAGUUUGUCUUUUUUCAUCAAUAAGGUAAAUGUUUCCAGUGGAAUUUAAAGAUGUAUCCAACUCCCAGGGAGUUGGGUCACUGGAGGCAUAAGGAAAUGCAAACUAAUAAGAAAAAAAUAAAAUAUUCAAUCUCUUGGCUACUGUUAUCUAUAAUAGCUAAAAUGAUAGUAAAAGAGGCUGGGCACGAUGGCUCACACCUGUAAUCCCAGCCCUUUGGGAGGCCGAGGCGGGCAGAUCAUGAGAUCAGGAGAUUGAGACCAUGCUGGCUAACAGGGUGAAACCCCGUCUCCACUAAAAAAUACAAAAAAAAAAAAAAAAAAAAAUUAGCCAGGCGUAGUGGCGGGUGGCUGUGGUCCCAGCUACUCAGGAGGCUGAGGAAGGAGAAUGGAAUGAACCUGGGAGGCGGAGCUUGCAGUGAGCUGAGAUCGCGCCAUUGCACUCCGGCCUGGGCAACAGAGUGAGACUCUGUCUCAAAAAAAAAGAAAGUAAAAGAGAGUGUGAAGUUGGGUCUUGAGGCUGGACCAAGCUCAGAUGUAGGUCUGAGCUCAGGCCACUAGCCUCAAUGCUACCCACAAGUGGGAACAUUAUGCCAGGACAACAAAAAGUACCUCUAAGAACUGUGGUUACCAAGAAGGUAUUCAACGUGGGAGAAGGACGAAACCAAGUAACGACUGAAGCCAGAGGGAAUACUGUGAAGGAAUUGUUUCAUUUUGUGGAUUGGUAUCAUCAGCUUCCUAAGGCAUCUUUACAAAAAUGGAUUAUGAGAAUAACUAAUUCAGGAGCAGUAUCUUUGGUUUUAAAUGCUGAGAGUGGAAGAGCAUGUUUGGGUUGAUGCAGGACCCAUAGCUCACUAUUGAACAGUCACAGAUGGGUAUAUAUGAUCUGGACACACAGGAGGUUAUGCCUGAGGGAACAGCCAGCCUGGUGCACUGGAUAAAAGCCACUGUGAGGUCUGUUUACCCUGGGAAGGGAAACUGUUUAACUUCACCUAUAAAGGCCAAUGGACACCCCAGAUGAGGCAGCUGAUUCACUUCAUAUGCAAGCCAUGUGCAAUUGACUCUAUGACCUCAGGGAUAUUCACCCACUGAAUAUGUCUGCUACCCAGGUCAUAGAUAAUUAAUUUUAUAAUUUUUUAUACAGACAGUGUCUCAUCAUCUUGCCCAGGCUGGUCUCAAACUCCUGGGCUCAAGCCAUCCUCCCUGGCUCAAGACAUCCUCCCACCACAGCCUCUCAAAGUGCUGGGAUUACAGGUAUGACCCACCAUGCCCAGCCCUAUUUUUAAUUUUAAUUUUGUUUCUUUUUUUUUUUUUUUGGAGACAGAGUCUCGCUUUGAUGCCCAGGCUAGAGUGCAGUGGUGCGAGCUCGGCUUACUGCAACCUCCAUCUCCUGGGUUCAAGCGAUUCUUCUGCCUCAGCCUCCUGAGUAGCUGGGACUACAGGUUCAUGCUGCCACACCCAACUAAUUUUUGGUAUUUUAGUAGAGACAGGGUUUCACUGUUGUUGCCCAGGCUGGUCUCGAACUCCUGAGCUCAGGCAAUCCACCUGCCUUGGCCUCCCAAAUUGCUAGGAUUACAGGCAUGAGCCACCGCGCCUGGCCAAUUUUGUUUCUUUUAAAGACAGAGUUCUCACUAUGUUACCUAGGCUGGUCUCAAACUUCUGGCCUGAAGUGAUCCUGCCCCCUCAGCUUCCCAAAGCAUUGGGAUUACAGGCAUGAACCACCAAGCCUAGCCUAUUCUCUCUACUCUUAGGAAUGGAUCCAAAAUUUUCCAUAAUAAAAAGUUAAAAUGUUAACACUGCUCAAUGAAAGUUAAUGGCUUAGUGACUUGCAUUUCUUUCUUCUUUCUGUCAUCUUCAAUGACACUUCCUAUGUUGUUUUACACUGUUCACAGAGUCUGCCUCUCUUUCUCCUGAAGUGUCCUGGUGGGCAGGAACUGUGUCCUGUUCACAGUCUUAUCUCUGCAACAACGCCACUCACUCCAACAAAUACAUGAUGAUGUAAAAUACAUGUCCUGGGGACAUGAUGGUGUGUAAAAGCAGAUAUGGUUGCCAAAUCAUUGAACUCAGAGUUCAGGGGAACCCUCAAUCAUUAAUUAAAUAGUUGUGCCCGUAAAUGUACAAUUGCUCCUAAGUGUUGCAUAGGAGGAUAUGUAGAGUUAACAGGUGGGGACUCGAUUAGUUAGGCAGCUCAGGGAGGCCUCCCUUAGAAAGUAACAAUCAGCCUGAGGGAUAAGAAGCUUCAGUCUGAAGGAUGAGAAGGAAUUAACCUUGUUUAUCAGUUAGGAUGCUUUUGGCUUCAAGUAUUGAAAACCGUAACUUAGUUGACUCAACAAUAAGGAAAAUGGAUCAUCCCAUAUAAGAUGCCCAGAAAUAAAGAAACUUCAACAUUGGACAACUCAGUAGUUCAACAAUGUCAUCAAGAACACAGGUCCCUUGGGAGGCUGAGGUGGGAGGAUUGCUUAAGGCAAGGAGCUUCAGACCAGCCUGGACAAUGUAGCAAGACCUCAUCUCUACAAAUAUUUUAAAAAUUAGCCAGGCAUGGUGGCAUGUGCCUAUAGUCCCAGCUAGUUGAGAGGCUGAGGUGAGAGGAUCACUUUACCCAGGAGUUUGAGGCAGCACUGAGCUAUGAUUGCAUUACUGCACUCCAGCAUGGUUGACAGAGCAAGAUCUUGUCAAUAAUUAAAAUAAACAAACAACAACAACGACAAAAACCCACGUCCCCUUCAUCUUCCUCUUGCUAUUGUCAGUGUUGGCUCAUUUCCCCUCAUAUUGCAAAAAUGGCUUUCACAGUUCCAGAUGUUAUGUGCAGAGACAAACGUGACCAACAGAAGAGGAGCCACUACUCCCUGUGCAUCUACAUUUAGCAGAAAAUCUUCCCAUGAAGUCUUGAGACAGCAUCCCAAGUCUUAUUGGCUAGAAUCACAUGAUGCCUAGUCCAAUCGAUGGCAAGGGUAAUGGAAUCAUCCUAUUUGCUUAGACCAAUCAAACAUGAUUUACUCCCUGGAGCUAGAAUUGAGCCUUCAGCCUCUUUUCAUACAGAAAAGAAUGGAUUCCUGAACAAAACUGGGCUGUACCAGAAAGGAAAAUGGGUGGUGGAGGAAUAAAUUUGGGGUAGGAACCAAUGUUGUUUGCUAUGCUUGACAAAGAGGAAUGUGAAAGAGGUUUUCCAGCAGUGGGACUAGCAUGUGCAAAGGCUCUGAAUUGGGAAGGGAUACAAGAAAUGAGUGUGGCUGAAACAUGGAGUGCCAGGGGAAGGGAGCACAGCAUAAGAUGGGGAGAGCUUGCAAGGCCCAGUGAGUCUUG
rnacentral:lncRNA from 1 species